CCUACGGGCGGCAGCAGUGGGGAAUAUUGCACAAUGGGGGAAACCCUGAUGCAGCGACGCCGCGUGAGUGAAGAAGUAUUUCGGUACGUAAAGCUCUAUCAGCAGGGAAGAAAAUGACGGUACCUGACUAAGAAGCCCCGGCUAACUACGUGCCAGCAGCCGCGGUAAUACGUAGGGGGCAAGCGUUAUCCGGAUUUACUGGGUGUAAAGGGAGCGUAGACGGCAGCGCAAGUCUGGAGUGAAAUCCCAUGGCUUAACCAUGGAACUGCUUUGGAGACUGUGCAGCUAGAGUGCAGGAGAGGUAAGCGGAAUUCCUAGUGUAGCGGUGAAAUGCGUAGAUAUUAGGAGGAACACCAGUGGCGAAGGCGGCUUACUGGACUGUAACUGACGUUGAGGCUCGAAAGCGUGGGGAGCAAACAGGAUUAGAUACCCCGGUAGUC
rnacentral:rRNA from 1 species